GGAAAUUCGCUGAAUUCUUAAAUAAUGGGUGUUAAACUAAUAAGCUCGGGAAAGCGCAUCGCUGGCAGCGAUGUGGUCGGGGUUCGAUCCCCCUGGGCUCCACCA
rnacentral:tRNA from 1 species